rnacentral:rRNA from 1 species
UCGAGGAUCUUCGGCAAUGGACGCAAGUCUGACCGAGCGACGCCGCGUGCGGGAUGAAGGCUUUCGGGUUGUAAACCGCUGUCAGUGGGGAGGAAAUCGUAGAGGGUAAUCUCUCUAUGUUGACCUAUCCGCAGAGGAAGCAAGGGCUAAGUUCGUGCCAGCAGCCGCGGUAAGACGAACCUUGCUAACGUUAUUCGGAAUUACUGGGCUUAAAGGGUGCGUAGGCGGUGCGGAAAGUCGGGUGUGAAAUCCCCCAGCUCAACUGGGGAAUUGCGCCUGAAACUACCGUGCUCGAGGAAGACAGAGGUACGCGGAACUUAGGGUGGAGCGGUGAAAUGCGUUGAUAUCCUAAGGAACACCGGUGGCGAAAGCGGCGUACUGGGUCUUAUCUGACGCUGAGGCACGAAAGCUAGGGUAGCGAACGGGAUUAGAUACCCCCGUAGUCC